AGCGAACGCUGGCGGCAGGCCUAACACAUGCCAGUCGAACGAACCUUUCGGGGUUAGUGGCGGACGGGUGAGUAACACGUGGGAACGUGCCUUUAGGUUCGGAAUAACUCAGGGAAACUUGUUCUAAUACCGAAUGUGCCCUUCGGGGGAAAGAUUAAUCGCCUUUAGAGCGGCCCGCGUCUGAUUAGCUAGUUGGUUGAGGUAAUGGCUCACCAAGGCGACGAUCAGUAGCUGGUCUGAGAGGAUGAUCAGCCACAUUGGGACUGAGACACGGCCCAAACUCCUAAGGGAGGCAGCAGUGGGGAAUCUUGCGCAAUGGGCGAAAGGCUGACGCAGCCAUGCCGCGUGAAUGAUGAAGGUCUUAGGAUUGUAAAAUUCUUUCACCGGGGACGAUAAUGACGGUACCCGGAGAAGAAGCCCCGGCUAACUUCGUG
rnacentral:rRNA from 1 species